rnacentral:rRNA from 1 species
AACGAACGCUGGCGGCAUGCCUAACACAUGCAAGUCGAACGAGACCUUCGGGUCUAGUGGCGCACGGGUGCGUAACGCGUGGGAACCUGCCCUUAGGUUCGGAAUAACUCCCCGAAAGGGGUGCUAAUACCGGAUAAUGUCUUCGGACCAAAGAUUUAUCGCCUUUGGAUGGGCCCGCGUUGGAUUAGCUAGUUGGUAGGGUAAAAGCCUACCAAGGCGACGAUCCAUAGCUGGUCUGAGAGGAUGAUCAGCCACACUGGGACUGAGACACGGCCCAGACUCCUACGGGAGGCAGCAGUGGGGAAUAUUGGACAAUGGGCGGAAGCCUGAUCCAGCAAUGCCGCGUGAGGGAUGAAGGCCUUAGGGUUGUAAAGCUCUUUUACCCGGGAUGAUAAUGACAGUACCGGGAGAAUAAGCUCCGGCUAACUCCGUG